UAAUUAUUUAUUAAUAAUUUGGACAGUGGUAGGGUUUGCAUGGAAAAAUUUAGAUUAUACAUACUCAUCUAGGAGGAAUAACAUUUGUGUGGAGGUGGUGCUGGCUGCAUGUGAAGCACUUGGACCUAAAACCAUUCAUCUAAUUGUGGCAUUCAAACUUAUGAAUCCUUGUAUAGUUGGAUCAUUUAAUACAGACACUUUCCUGUUACAGGCAUACAAAAUGUGAAAGUAAAUGUCCAGGUUGAAUGCUAUGAGACUGAUUCUGUGAAUCAUGUGAAUAACUGCCUGGAGUUUUCAGCACUCACGCAUCACGCCACUUUCUCAUCAGUGCAUCAUCAGCAUGGAGCACUGCCGUGGAGAUGCUCUCUGUGGUACUUCCUUGGGCUCUCUCUGCCUUCAUCUUGCCUCCCCUGGACAAUGAGACUAGCGUGAUUGGCUUCAACAAGCCCGCCCGACCAUGAAAUAAGCGUUGGCCAGACCGCGGGUGAAGGGG
rnacentral:lncRNA from 1 species